CAUAGCAGUUGUACGCUGUGGAAAUCAGUGACAAGGACGAACCUCUAAGUCAGUGAGUAUUUGGGUUUCAAUGUCCUAAGAAUGGAACGUGUACCUAAGUUGGUAGAUGAACUAUAUGGAAUGGCAGAGUAAGUAGAAGCUUGAUUCUAGAGAGUAUGCAAUUUCGAAGAGUAGUAGCCGACGAUGGAUGUACAUGGAAUUCUGGCACGUGUUGUAAUUGGACAACUGCAGAUAAGGAAUUAUUGAGUAUUAAUGGAAACUAAAUGAACUACGGAUAUAGCAUAACUCAGAGGAUUUCAAAGUGUGUGAAUUGUUGGAAUCAUAGUAGCGCAACGGAUCGAGGAAGAACCAAAUAAGUCUGAGGUAGGAAUGAACGGACUAAUUGUAGGAUCUUCUCUUGGGAUGGAAGUAUCUUCCCAAGAGGAACUCGUCGAAGCAGCAUUUCGUUUGUCAUGAGGGAUACCGGCAGUGGACCAAAUUGGGAAGAGACCUUGUGGAUGACAUGUGAUCCGAUGUCCGUAGAUCAUCAGUUGAACUUGUAAGCAUUAAGAGUUGGACAUAGUAUCGUGAUUGCCGGAAUGCUGGAGGCUAGUGAAGACAUUCAGCUGGCACAAGUUCUUUGUGGUUAAGCCUUGUGCACUAUGAUCAUGCAGGAAGACUCGGGCAGUGGUUACAGGUCAGCUAUUGAAUUUCACCUCUCAUCAGUAGAAUCUUGUGUGAGGUUGUCGAAUGUCAAGGCUAUAGUUGCAAGAUGCUACGCUAUCAUGGAUUGUGGUGAUGACUGAUACGUCUAGAACUGAGGCGAGAGUUAAGUAAGGAGAUUCAGUUGUAUAAGUAAGGGGGUAAACUUGAGACAACCAUCCUAACAUUUUGGAAACCAGAAGCUAGGACCAAGAUAUUUGGCUAACGCCUAAUGUCAUUGUAUGGACUUUGGUAGAGAAUAAUUUAAAGCGUCGUCAUGGAACGGAAUAUUAUGACAAGAAUGCUUGGAUGGGAAGUAAUUCAAGGAGCCUGAGUGAAUCAAUAAGUGUGUUGGACAAGGGUGAACACAAUAGAAUUUUGAACAGCAGAUAUCCAAGUGAGUGGAUUACUAGGGUUUCUGAAGUUCUGGGGAUUCAGUGCAGAGCAAUGAAGGUCAAGGACCCUAAAAGGAUCUUUCCCCAGAUAUGUCAAGACGAAGUAUCAGAUUAGACGUGUUGCUUGAGAGUUAAGGUUUCUAAUCAUGUGUAGUGGGAUGCAAGCGUUUUGGCAGAUUAUGUUUCUUCGUAUGGAAUGACCCUCAGACAGAGUAGAGAGAUUACCUAAAGAGGAAUGUGAGUAACGUUCUUCCCUUUGGUUGGAUAGAUGUGAAGAGUUGGUUUUUCGCGAUGAUUGAAAGGAAUUCGAGGACGAAUUCAAUUUAAGGGGGGGAGAAUGUAAUAUCCCACAUUAAUCUAAGCAUAAUUAAGAGAUACUAAGAAGAAAUGUGUAUUAUUAUAGUGGAUUAGUUAGAAUCCAACUAAGUGGCAUAUUGGUAAUUACCACUUAGUUGGAGGGCAUUAUGGACAUUUAACUCUAUUGCAUGGGCUUAAGGACAUGUUUGGUUGGUUAGUUGUUACAAAUCAGAAUUUUGAAGAAUGAGAGAGCUUAGGAGCAUGGAAAGAAAGAAGAAAAUCAUGUUCAUCCUUUGCAUUUUCGCAACCCUUGAUACAGCUCCACUAAAUCAGCUUGUUUAUUGGUGGAGAUAAACGCAUUUGAAGAUUGAUGAUUGAUGCUGAAAGUGAGUACAAGAGUGGUUACGGGUUUGGUGAACUUGAAGGUGUAGUUUGUGUCAAGAAGAUAGUCCAAUGGAAGCAAGAACAUGAUCUCAACCUCUAUUAAUCCAAGGUGCAGUUUAGUAGCUUUUGACAGAUAGCAGUUUCGGAUUGAUGGCUUGAAGUGGUGUUGGCUCGGAGACCUCGUCAGAUCUCAUUUUCCGCUGUGCAGAUCCAUGAAGAC